AAAGAGAAAAGGGAGAGCAAAAAGAGCAAGCCAUGAAAUACUUAGCCCGUAUCUCCCAAAGUGCGAAAUUUACCCAAGUAAACGAAGGAAAAGAAUUGAGUCAACCAAUCCAAAUCAUACCACAAAAACUACAUAAAGUUCUACGAUCUUUUACCCUUUCCAAUCCUCAUGCUUGACUAAUACCUAUACAAAUUAUCCUAUCUCAUUCAACCCAUCUUUCAAGCCGUCUUGAGUCACGAAUAAAAAAAAGACAAGUGAAAAGUACAUUCUACGUUUAACGUAAAAAAUAAAUAAUAAAAAAAAAGAAACUUUGCAAAGCGCCUUUAAAGUUCGUCUAAAAAAAGAAAAAAGAGCAUUUAGCGCACAAAAAAGAUUCGCAAAUAUUUGGCACAAAACGAAAAGAAGCCUCCCCAGGAAUUACUUUCAACGCCCAGAGCUGGGCGCCGGAAUCUUUAAUGCACUAGAGGAAAAAUCCUUAUAGGUUGCUCAUCAAAGGUUGCCCUUAUCAAACAAGUGCAACCUUUAAGAACAAAAAAAAAAUAAAAAAAAAAUUAUAAUUAAAAUCUGAAAUUUUGCAUCCAAACAAACGCAGCCCUUUAACCUAAGGAACUUAAAAAAAACCCAACACUGGUCUCUCCUCUCUGCGGCCAAACGUACGUCUCUCACAGCUAGCUCCUGCAAACCAUCUCGCACCCUCUCUCCUCCUUCUCAGGUGACCGGAAAUUAUGUUUAGAACCGUAUCUUCCUAUCUCUAGCUUCCCCUCUUCUCUCUUGGGGUUUCUAUGUCGGCGUUUAUGGGGUAUCCUCUAUCAUUCGAUCGGUGAUUACGGUGAAUGAUAACUCUCUGUCACUUUCUCUCUCAGGUACUUUCUGUUCCAAUUUUAUUCUUAAUUCUUACUUCGAUUUUUCGCAAUUUGAUCAAUUUUUCGGUUUUUUGAUUGAUGGGUUUGAUUUUCGAAUUUCGUUUUUGCUUGUUUUAUUAAUCGGAUUGGAUUGUUGUUUACUUCGAUUUCUUGUUCAAUGUUGCGAUCUAGAGCAAAGAUUUAGUUUUUCUUGGUUUUCGUUCCUUAUCGAUUCAGCUUUGACAAUUUGACUGAGGUUUUCAGCUUCUCUUACCAACCACUAACUCCGUGGCCGAAUAUAAGUAAGUUCUUAUCUUCAAUUUCCCAUAAUAGUAAGUUCUUAUCUUCAAUUUGACUGAGGAUUACAGCAAGCAUAUUAAGUUAUAAUUGUGGAAGAAAAAAAGUUGAUUACUUUGAAAUGAGUGACUGAAUUUGUUAUUGGUGCAAAUGUGCUUGACUGGUGCAAUUGGUUGAUCAAGCUUCAGCUACUGUUUUUAGUAUAUGGGUUACUUUUACUAUUCAGUAAAGUGAACUGUUUGUGAUAUGUGAUAACGACCCAUUUCGAUAAUUCUGUGGUUCAGAGAUAUGAUCAUCUGGGUUUAUUUUUAGCUCUAAUUGAGUGCUUUGUAUAUGGAAGUAGUUGUUUGAGUGAGUGACAGUGCCCUUUGCAUUUUUGCAUAGUGGAUGUGUACUAGUGAUGUAAGUUUGUCUUGGGAGUGCUGUGAUAGGUUUGUUUUGAACCUCCUUGGAUGAAAGUUGAUCGUUUCGAUGUAUUUGUGUGUUUCCACAGGCAUUAGAAAGCAGCAGUUGAUUCGUGUUGCUUGUUCUAGAUGGAAUCUUGCAAUUGUAUUGUGCCGUAAUGGCCUCAUGAUGAUCUGUUGAUGAAGUAUCAAUAUAUAUCUGAUUUUUUUCACAGCCCUUGCAUAUUUUUCAAUCCCAUUAGAGUUUAUUUACUUUGUUAAAAAAUCAGCUGUUUUUCGAUAUAGAUGGGUGCUUGUGCAGUUUGGUACUUUUAUAGUGCUUUGUGGAGCAACACAUCUAAUUAAUUUUUGGACUUAUAGAAUACAUACUAUAGCAGUUGAAAUUGUUAUGACUACCACUAAGGUUUUAACCGCUGCUGUCUCAUGUGCAACUGUACAUGAUGACAUUCUCAUGAAGUACUUUCUUAGAAUAAUUUGUGCUCAGCCUUCUCAUGGUAAUUUUUCUGUAAGAUAUGAAUGCGAGUGAACAAUGCAAAAAAUAUGAAAUGUUAUAUGAAUGUUUUAGAGGUGGUUGAAAAUUGCAAUACGUUAUUCUUUCUAAUGAGACGUUCUUAUUGCAUUUUUGCAACUAAAUCUGUCUUUCAGCAUUGUUUAUGAUAUCUUUUAAUACAGUAACCUGAUUUCAUGUUCUUUUGAGUAUGUUCUUUUUAUUGUCUUUAAGAUCAUUCAUACUGAAAUUUGGCGAUUUGCAUAUCACUGUCUUGAAGGAUAUUUCUCUUGUUAUAUAAUCUGUACACUAAGAUUGAUGGCUGGUUAUUAAUCAUGUCCUCGAGGUUAAAUUUCUUUAUCUCACUAAUCUGAAUGUAUUAUAUAAAUCACAGUCUAAUUUCAUUACUGCUCUAACAAUUGAAAAUACGUUUAUCAUAUACCGUUGAUCAAUCACAGUCACGCAGGUGCUUUACAAGGUCUAUUGUGAUAUGUUGCUAUUGUGUGCAACUGUAUGUUAUAACUCAUAGCUGAAUAUAUGGAUAUUAUUAACAUAAAUUGUGGAUAGUGUUAUAACACAAGUCUAAAAACCCACUCCGUGUAUGCUAUUCAGGCCACUAAACCCUUGAAAAUUGAAACCGAAGAAAGAGAGAAAGAAAGAGGAAGAAAAAUGAACACAUUUGCGUCACUUUUGCUGAAGAAAAACAAAGCUUUGAAUUCCAUCUUGUACAACAACGUGAAGGGAUAAGGAAUUAAUAGCAGUUGUAGAAAUUCCUCUAUUGAAGGCUUCAGAUUCUUCUCUACAUUAGGUUCUGAUGCUUCAAUCACCGCCAGAAAUGCACCCAUUUCUGCCUUCAGAUCAUUUCCCAAGGUUUUCACAACUCCAAGGGAAGGGCCCUUCACCAAAGAGGAGUUGGAUGAAGUUCGAGCCAAGUGGGCUACUUACUUCAACGAUUGUGAAUUACCCUCAGUGUAAUAAUUAGAGCAAGCUUGUAGUUAUCCGUGACUCUUACAUUAUUUUGUUAUUUAUCGAUUUAAUUAAUUACAUUUGAAUUAAUUCGGAAAUAUUAUUUGAAAAUUGAAAUUUAUAUCAUUUUUGAGGAAUGUCAAGAUGAUGUUUGGUGAAACAA